rnacentral:lncRNA from 15 species
GCGUCCUUAAUUUUGGAUUUGACAACAUAUUUUCAAAUCUUUUUCCUUUUGAGAAUUGAAAUGUUUGAGUCUCAAAGCUGAUAAUUUCUCAAAGAUAAAUACUCGCCAAACUUUGGUUGUAACACUGACCACUGUUUUUAAGACUUGACACUUGACUUGAUUCUUUAAAGACGUGUCUGUUGAUCAGGAACAUUUUCUGUGCGAUGCGUCCUGUUGUGUACUUUGUAGUGCAGUUUAGGAUUAUGUGAUUUAUUGUUUCAGUUUUAGGCAAAGAACCUGGACGGGACUUUUACGGACAGGUCAAGAUGUUCAGUAGACCACAUAACUAGGACGACAUCUCCUCUCCAGCCUCCAAGAGCUUCACUCAACAGAACCAAGUAUCCAUGUAAGUACAGAUGUUUGCAGUUUAGCGCAAUUUAUUUUUGUUUCUAAUCGUAGUAUCGUGUCGUGGUUUGUUAGACUGCCUAUCUCUAACAUAAUGUACUGUAUAAUCUAAUCUAAUAUUAGGUUGCAGAGACAGUUGAAAUGACCCAAUUGGUCCUAUUAGUGCAGGAGGUUAAGCAGUUUCAUCAAUGUGCGUUCAAUAGACAGACUGGGCUGGUGGUGAAUGGACGUGGCUAUCUUCCUCUCAGAAAGGACGAAUACACCUUCUGGUAACUCCAAGGUUGUCUUAUUUGUUUUGUCUUCUUAACUGACUUUCUUGCCUUUGGUAAGCCUAUGUUCAGGAGUCACUGGGUUUUGUUCAGAGUUGGGAAGGUGUAAAGAGAGGGUGAAAUGAGUGAGUUUCAAUCUGUAACUACACCGCUAGAUGCCACAACAUCCUACACACUGGACCUUUUAAGUUGGGAAAAAAACAAUGUCAGGAUGUUGUAAUGUAAAAAAAAAAAACAAAUUACCAUGACCCAGAAAGGUAUCUUCAUCAAAGUCAAUACUAACCAUUUAAAAUAAAAGAACAGCGCAGACUGAUCUCCUUGCUGGUGGACUGGAAUGCAGCCACAUGUAUAUUACAACGUUAUUGAAUAUAAAAGAGGUCUCCUUUAUACCUCUUCAACCACCAGUGGCAGCACUGAGCAACACUCCAGUCUGAGGUGAGGAAGAGCAGCAUCUUUGAUUCUACGUGGUUUGUUCAGACUUACAUGGAAGACACAUCCCUUAGUCAAAGUACAUCAGGUUGUUACUUCACACCCAUCUGAAGCAGCUGUCGUUCCCACUUUAUAAGUUGUUGAAGAUUGCAAGAUUUCAGACACAGCAGUCCCCUGGAGCCGAACUAGCUGUUAAUAAGUAAAUACCUCCAAACUGUUGACUGGCUGCUUGCUAAACCACAUUGUCUUGUUUUCUAUAUUUCUAAACAUGCUGCACUCCGAAGAUGUGAGGUGUGGUGGCUUUGGAAUAGUUGGAAGACAUCUUUGAAGGCGUUGAGCUAAGUAAUGAAAAAGGUAUGUAACAAGUAACAACAUAUUUGAGUAAUGAGUUAACUAAUAUAGUUACUUUUAAAUUAAGUAAUCACCAAAUGAUAAAAUGUCUCAAGUAACUUCUCAUCUGU